AUGAAAUUUCGACAGAACCCUUCGGGGUGAAGAUGAAAUGGCUUAGCGGCGGACGGGUGAGUAACACGUGAGUAAUCUGCCUUUAACAUAGGGAUAGCCUCGGGAAACUGGGAUUAAUACCAAAUGAAACUAUUUUACCGCAUGGUAGAAUAGUCAAAGAGAUUCGGUCAAAGAUGGACUCGCGGCUGAUUAGCUAGUUGGUGAGGUAACGGCCCACCAAGGCGACGAUCAGUAGCCGGCCUGAGAGGGUGAUCGGCCACAUUGGAACUGAGACACGGUCCAAACUCCUACGGGAGGCAGCAGUGGGGAAUAUUGCACAAUGGGGGAAACCCUGAUGCAGCGACGCCGCGUGAGCGAAGAAGGCCUUCGGGUCGUAAAGCUCUUUUAUGAGGGAAGAUAAUGACGGUACCUCAAGAAAAAGCCCCGGCUAACUACGUGCCAGCAGCCGCGGUAAUACGUAGGGGGCUAGCGUUGUCCGGAAUCACUGGGCGUAAAGGGUUCGCAGGCGGAAUAACAAGUCAGAUGUGAAAGGCAUGGGCUCAACCCAUGUAAGCAUUUGAAACUGUAAUUCUUGAGAAGUGGAGAGGUAAGUGGAAUUCCUAGUGUAGCGGUGAAAUGCGUAGAUAUUAGGAGGAAUACCUGUGGCGAAGGCGACUUACUGGACACAAAUCUGACGCUGAGGAACGAAAGCGUGGGUAGCAAACAGGAUUAGAUACCCUGGUAGUCCACG
rnacentral:rRNA from 1 species